CGGUGCGCGGAGAGCAUUGAUGACAAUGACGUGUGCUUAUUUUUCUUUAUUUUCCUCAUUUCUCUCGAUUGUCUCAACUGAAAAACUGUGCGGAGGUGACCGGGCACGCAGCGGGGGAUGAGACGGAAGAAUAGAA
ensembl:ncRNA T24F3.1 ncRNA